rnacentral:rRNA from 1 species
CCCUUAGAUGUUCUGGGCCGCACGCGUGCUACACUGAACGGUUCAAUGGGUGAGGUAGUGCGAAAGCAUGACCCAAUCUCAAAAUCCGUUCGUGCUGGGGAUAGAAGCUUGCAAUUCUCCUUCUUGAACGAGGAAUACCUUGUAAGCGCGAGUCAUCAUCUCGCGCUGAAUACGUCCCUGCCCUUUGUACACACCGCCCGUCGCUCCUACCGAUUGAGUGGUCCGGUGAGGCUUCGGGAGAGCUAAAUGGAUUGUGUUUCACAAACUAUUUGGCUUGAACUUAGUCAAACCUUACUACUUAGAGGAAGGAGGAGUCGUAACA